rnacentral:rRNA from 1 species
UACGAAGGGGGCUAGCGUUGCUCGGAAUCACUGGGCGUAAAGCGCACGUAGGCGGAUUGCUAAGUCAGGGGUGAAAUCUUGGAGCUCAACUCCAGAACUGCCUUUGAUACUGGCGAUCUUGAGUCCGGGAGAGGUGAGUGGAACUGCGAGUGUAGAGGUGAAAUUCGUAGAUAUUCGCAAGAACACCAGUGGCGAAGGCGGCUCACUGGCCCGGUACUGACGCUGAGGUGCGAAAGCGUGGGGAGCAAACAGG